CCGAGCAGUCCCACCCCCCCCCCCCGGGGUAAGCAGAGCUCGACUGGCUCGAUUGCAUGGGCUUGGAGAAAGAUGUGGGUGGCCCAUUAUGACUCAUGAGCUCAUGUUGACGUCGCCGUAUCAUCAAUCACCAUCAACAUCAUCAUUCAUUCGUUCAGGCAAACACACACAAACACUUUACUCUUGUCUUGUAGCACCGUCUCGGUAAGUCAAUGGCUUCAUCGGAGAACAUCCAUCACCACCAUGACCACCAGCAGCACGCACAUGGAGAUGCAGGGGCAACGUCGUGGGUGGACCAGGACGGGAGGGUGUACCACAGCCACGACGGCCUCGCACAGCACUCCCAUGUUCCCAUCUACUCUGGCUUCUUCAGCACGAGGGCUCUCCCUUUUCAUUCCCGGGAUUAUAACGAGAGGGCAUUCACCGUUGGUAUCGGUGGCCCUGACGGACCUGGAUUGGUGUUACAUGUCGGACAAUUCUCAGGAAAACAGCUUUGAUGUUGGUUCUUUGCCAAUUCUUGAGAGACAAGUACAGUCUUGCCGCGGUGACGAAUGAUAUAUUCACAAAAGUGGAUGGGGAGUUCUUGGUGAAACAUGAGGCGAUCCCUCAGGAAAGAAUACGCCCAGUCGAAACGGGAGGGCGCCCUCAUGCUGCAAUCCGCGAAGACACCUGCAUUAACCUUGGCCCUCUUGAGGAGCUCUCUAACUUGUACAAGACAGACUUGUUGCUCUGCGUAUCGGGGGGAGAUAAUUUGGCUGCAAACUUCAGCAGAGAGCUGGCAGACUACAUUAUAUAUAUAAUUGAUGUCUCUGCUGGUGAUAAAAUACCUCGAAAAUGAGGUCCUGGGAUCACUGAAGCUGAUCUUCUUGUCCGUUUUUGAAGUUCUCUCCUAUUGUUCUCUUUGCAGUUUCUGCAGUAUUGCAGCAAACUGAUUUUGCUCGUGUUUUUUUAUGUGAGAGAACCAACUGAGAAUAGAGCUAAUUGGAUAAUAUUAUUGACCAACAAGUGCAGAAUAAAUACAAGUAACUUCUAACUGAAUUCCUAAAAAACAAGACACAUUACUAACAACCUACUUGACCAGAAAGUAAAGCAACUAACAUCCUAAAAUGUAGCCACAAUGGCUAGUUGCCCCUAAAGACUAGGACCUCAGUAAACUGAACAAAAACAACACUAAAACAUCAGUAAAAAAUAAUAGUAACAACUCACAAUUUACUAACAUUCUUCUCCUGAAUUUGAGCUGCACACACACCUAACUUAUCUCUAAGAGCUUCAAACUUAUCAACAUGAAAUGUCUUAGUGAAUAUAUCAGCAAGUUAGUUGUCUAAACUGCAAUGUACUUGCUUUACUUCACCUGACCUCUGCACUUCCCUCAAGAAGUAGUACUUAACUUUGAAAUACUUUAUUCUACCGCGAAAGACUGAAUUUUGUGAAAUGGCCAAAGUAGCUUGGUUGUCCACAAACACCUCUAUGUUGUUCUCUUGCUGCAGAUGCAGAUCACUCAUCACUUUCUUCAGCCAUAUUGCUUGAUUCACGGCUACAGUUGCUGCAAUGAAUUUAGCUUCUGCAGUUGAUUAAGCCACUAACUCUUGCUUCUUUGAACACCAAGAAAAGCAUCCUGAUUCAAAUGUGAAGCAAUAACCAGAAGUACUUCUCAUAUCAUCCACUGAUCCAGCCCAAUCACUGUUAGAAUAUCCCAAUUUGAACUCCUUGACUCUAUAGAACUUAAUCCCAUAUGAAAGAGUGUCCUUCAAUUACCUCAACGCCCUCUUAGCAACUACCAUAUGCAACUCACUAGCACAAUUUAGAAAUUUAGACUAACACGCUUAUAGGAAACAUGAUGUUUGGUCUGGUUGCAAUGAGAUACAUUAAGCAGCCAAUCAAACUUCUGUAGCUUCUCUUUCUUAACCAUCGGUGUACUUACACUUUUGCACUCCUCCAUACCAAAUCUCUUCAAAAUUUCCUUCAAGUACUUUCUUUGACAUAUGAAGAUCUCAUUAUGAGCUUGUUUGAUCUCCAUACCAAGAAAAUAAAACAUCCCACUCAAAUCAGUCAUUUCGAACUUCUUCAUCAGAUUUUGCUUGAAAGCAAUGAUUUUUGCCUCAUUGCUUCUUGUCACCAACAAGUCAUCCACAUUGAGAGACGCAAUAACUAAGUCAGAAUCCAACCUUUUAACAUACAAAGUGCACUCACUUAGGCUCUUCUCAAAGCCAAGAUUCAAUAGAUGCCCGUCCAUUUUGUUGUACCAAGCUUUAGGAGCUUGCUUUAAGCCAUAUAGGUCUUCUUCAGCACAUAUACUUUCUCCUCCUAAUAUGGUACAGUAAAUCCCUCUGGUUGCUCAACAUAAAUUUCUUCCUGCAACUCACCAUUUAGAAAUGCAGAUUUAACAUCUAGUUGAUACACCUUCUAAUCCCUUUGAGCUGCUAAAGUAAGGAUUAAUAUGAUAGUAUCAACCCUUGCUACAGGUACAAAUAUUUCAGAGAAAUCUACUCCCCAUACUUGUGCAUAGCCUUUUACCACUAACCUAGCCUUAAGCUUGUUAACCGAGCCAUCAAGAUUGAGUUUAGUCCUGAAGACCCACUUUAGCCCAAUGACCUUCCUAUCUAUAGGCUUCUCUACUAACUCCCAAGUCUGUUUCUUUUUUAUCAUAGCAAACUCUUCCUUCAUGGCAUCAUCCAUCUCAGAUCACAUUUGGCUUCCUCAUAACCUGCAGGCUCUAAAACUACCAUAUUGCACCUCUGAUAUAUAUCCGUCAGUGAUCUCGUACCUCUAAUUGGAGCAUCAUCCACUAGCUCAUCAGGUUUCAGUGAGAUCUCCUCAUGCUUGCUUUGUGGCUCAUCUGUCCAAUCCUAUUGCUCAUCUUCUAGAAACUGAACAUCCCUGCUAGUAAUCACUUUCCUGGUCUGUGGCUGAUAAAUCAUGUAGGCUUUAGACACCAAGCUAUAGCCAACAAAGAUUUCAGGCUCAGCUUUCUCUCCUAGCUUGUCCUUCAUGAGAGAAACAUAGGCAGCCAAACACCUUCAAAUUCUUUAGAAUAGGCUUGACACCAAGCCAAGCUUCAAAGGGUGUCUUUUUCUCUAAAGUCCUUGCAGGUAAUCUGUUUAGUAGGAAAACUGCUAUAUUUGCUGCUUCUACCCAAAAAUUUUGUGGCAAACCCUUCUCAUGCAACAAACACCCGGUCAUCUCCAUGAUGGUUCUGUUCUUUCUUUGACUAACUCUAUUUUGCUGUGGAGUAUAUGGAGUAGUGAGUUGAUGCUCGAUUCCAGCUUCCUCACAGAAAGAGUUGAACCUUUGUGAGGUAUAUUCUGUUCCAUUAUCAGAUCUAAUGACCUGAAUCUUGCAGCCACUUUGGUUCCUAAUCCAUGUCUUAAACCUCAUAAACACCUCAACAACUUCCAACUUCUGCUUCAAAAAAAUAUAUCCAACACAUUUUGGUAUAGUCAUCAAUGAAAAUGAUGAAAUACCUGUAGUCAUUCAGUGAAGAGGUUGCUUGUAGACCACAAAGAUCCAUGUGAAUCAGUUGCAACUUCUCCUUAGCUCUCCAAGUGGAUUCUUUGAAAGGAAGUCUGGUUUGCUUGCCCAAUAAACAAGCCUUGUAACUAGUGAAUUCCUCCUUCAGGCUAGGUAGUCCACUUGCCAUCUCAUUUUUCUACAUAAACUACACUCCCUUGUGAUGGAAGUGCCCCAAUCUCUUGUGCCAUACCUCUGAAUCACUGACUUGGCACUUGAAUGCUACCUGCUCCUUCUCAAGAGGAUUUAGAGAAAAGCUCUUCUGCUACAUUCUUAUCUUUAAUAGCUCUUGACCGCUGGAAUUAGAGAACGGACAACUCCCUUCUUCAAAUAUCACCUUAAAUCCCUUCUUUACCAAUUGACCUACACUCAACAUGUUUUGAUCUAUCUCAAGCAUAUACGUCACAUCAGAAAUCAGCUUAACUCCAGCACAGCUCUUCAUGGCUACAGUCCCUUUUCCUUCUACUGGUAAGUAUUCCCCAUCUCAAUUCUUACCUUCGAUUUCAUUGACUUAUCAAGACUCUUAAAUAACUUCUCAUCACUAGUCAUGUGGUUUGUACAACCACUAUCAAUAAGCCAACUAUCACAAUGAGUACUUGAAGUGAAACACGAGGCAACAAAUAAUUGAUUUACCUCUUGCUAGACUGCAACAUGUGCUUCACUUGGCUGCUGAUCCCCCUUCUCUUUACAGAACUUCUCUAUGUGCCCAAGCUUAUUGCAUUUUCUGCACCUCACAUAUGGCCUCUUCCAGCACCAAAAAUGGGGAUGGUUCAGCUUGCCACAGUGCUUGCAAGGAGAGUAUCUUCCUCCUUUGUUGCAUGCACUACCUUUUACUGCUGCAGUUUCUAAGUUGCAGUCAUUUCCCUUCUUCCUUUUCCACUUCUUCUCUUUCCCUUCAGGAUUCUAUUGCACUUUAGCCUUUAGAGCCCCCUUUACCCUUCCUUCCAGCCUCAUUGAUCUUUUCUGCUCAGGUUUAGCGAGACUGGAAUUGAUGAUGAUGAAGAAGAGAGCUUCUGAGCAGCAGCGGAGUGGCCAUUCGAGUCCUUCCGCUAUCCCCUCUCCAUUCAUUCGCUCUGCUCCCCUGCCAAUGCCCGCCACAAAAUCCUCCGCCAUUACUAGUAGGCCACACCAGCUCCAAAUGUCACGUCGCAAACCCUCAUGCAGAAGCCAGAAAGCCCGGGACGUCGCUUGCGCGUGGAAUAGAACUGAAUCAAUCGAUGGCUGACAUACAAGUAAACAGAAGGAACAUGACAGACAAGUUAUGCACAAGAAAAGUCCUCAAUGACAUCUCCACUCCAUCGAUGUUGAUUCGUAGAUGCUCAUCUUUGAACUCGGCUAAUCAUACGCACUGUAUCGUCGGCGAUCAUCACUCUGUUAUCGUCUUGCAGUUUCUGAAACCAGCACCAGCAUAGCAUCAAUUAAUUUGAUGCUUAUAUAACGUGUCUGGCCAUAAGUUCAGACUUCAUUCUCUUCAUUCUUCCUCUCCAACUUUGCAGGUUAUAAACAAGACCGGUCUUGCUCCAGCUCUGGCUGUUGGAGCUGAAUUCACAGUCAUGGAACGAGAUCGAUGCUCACCGAAUGUGAGAUGGAGGGCCUUUCGUCUUUGUACAGGAAGUUGCGACUGGAAAGAAGUGUCAAUAAGUUAUUUCGGUACAGCUACGAAGACAAGUACUCAUUUGCCCGCCUCUAUUUAGAUGUUGUAAUGGGAUAACGAACAAUAAUUGGGGCUCUGCUUUGUUCGUUCGACCAUAACAAAGCCCCAAUCGAUGUAUGGCCAGUUCGCUAUUUUUACAGUUCAUUAUGCUCUUAAAAGUUUGGUGCUGCAUCUAUCAUGCACCCUGAAGUUCGACAUUCGUCCCA